GAGCUCCGAUUGGCUGGCUGGGUGCAGCGGGAAGAAGAGAACUUGCUGGGAGGACAUUUUGAAGAGGAGAGCGAGAAUCAUAUCUGAUAAAUAUUCUUUACACUGAGUUAUACUCUCAGACGAAGGGCUUGUGCAAAUGAAGACAGACUGCUCAGAAGAGUGACUGAAGAAAAUGAAAUGCAAAUGAUUACCUGAAGGCAAGACAGAAGUUAAGACUCCUUAACUUGCUCAACAUCAGAUUUGGAGUCAGAAAAGGAAGACGAUGUGACAAAGCCAAAGAGACAAAGGACAGCCAGAAUUCGGUUUGGCGACAGCGAUGAUAGUGCGUCAAAAAAGGGUUCAAGAAAGACAAUAAAAAGCUCCCUGCCAGCUGCACCAGCAGUACCUCGCCCACCUUCAACUUCACCUGCUACACAAAGACCUCAAGUAAGUGCAUCACCUAGCCAGCCUCCAGAUGAGUGUGUUGAAGACUUCAUUCAUUCGCCUUCAAUGAUGGCACAAACACCAAGGAGAGUCACUGCUGUACCCACUAGACUGGAUUUCACUCGACCAUCAAGAAGUGAAAUGCUCACUUUCACUCCCACUGGUAGAGUUGGGAGGACUGGAACUGCAUCUAUUCCCUGCACUGGUAAUCUCCUCAUCAUGAUGUUAUUUUAGACCUAGAAAUGCUUAUUUGUACCAGUGUUAUUUGAACUCUCUGGAUGCUACAGUAAGAUGACAGCCCGAGCAAUCUGUCAAAACAACAUCCCUUUUGCAUGAUUUGAGUUUGAGUUAUUUCAAAAUAUUGGUGCACCUCCUUUUCACAGUAAAGUAGAAGUAAGCUUGAUGAAAGUGAACACUAGAACCACCCAAGUAUAGGCACACCUAGAAGCACCACGAGCAAUCCAUUUUUAACAGUCGUAUUAAAAACAACAUCAAUAUAUAAUGAAGGAUCAAGCGAUUGGGUUUAAGUUGUAGUUUUAUCCAUCCACGUCACAUAAGCAAACUGAAAUAAAACAAAAACAGGCAUUUGCACAGAAUUUAGUUAAUGUACAGACAUAUUAUCUGAAACACAACUGCAAAAAAUCUAUAAAUGUAAUAAACGUUUGAACAUAAAUGAGUGUGGUAUAUGCAUAUGCGAUAAUCUACAACCUGGACUGUAUAAAGACAGCAUUGAAAAUGAAUGGGUUUAUAUACCUAUGCAGACCUAAAAAGCUGUAUAGACUGCAUACAGCUGCCAGUUUAACAGAAAUGUGUCUGUGUGCAGGUAUAUAAUAAUCAAAAUAACAAUGAAUGAGUUCUUGUUUUCUUUGAUCUGUCCCAAUGCUGCCAUGCUUUCCUGGCCAGAGAAUUUUAAAACAGUCCAUGACCAUGUGAUAUCUCAUCAUGACAGCUCUGUAUGCUUUUGUGAUUAAUAAUGUCCUAUUAAAAAUAUUUAUUCCAUAAUUAGUGUACUAAACGAGGAUGCUAAAUGCUAUGCAUUGUUGUUGUCACUCUCGUAAUUUGCGAAUGUUUUUUGAAAGUGACGACAAAAAAAAGUGGAAUCGUCACUAGGACGAUCGUUUCUGUUUGUAGUAUAAAAUAAAUCCCUUUUGUUCUUCACACACAACGUCUGUUUUUUCAAAAGAAGGGAUUGCUGAACCAUAGAGUCACUGCUGUUGAUUAGAUCAGCGUCUCAGCCUCUCAAUUCAUUGACUCUGCAACAUUCUCGUGGUAGCGACGUAAAUGCAGUCAGCCAAUCAGCGCAUCAGUUUCAUGUCUCGUGUCAGUUACCAUGGUAACUGAAAAAAUAGGAGCACGCUAAAAGAGCAAUGUUCUUGUAUUGACGGUGUGCUAUAGACUCAAGUAAACAUACAGAAAAAUCGUAAAAUGUCAAGCACUCACCAAGCAUCUGCUGUUAAGCUUAUAUAUUUAUUAUUCUAACAUCAUAAUCAUAUAAAACAAUGAAGCGAAUUCAUGCAGACGCGAGUAGUAACAGUUAAUUAGGAUCUCCACCUCGACGUGGGGUAUGAACCACUUCAAUCCUCAUAAAUCUCAAAGUACAAACGCUAUGUUGUUGUUCAUUAAAAUGUCUCUCUACAGCUGAUCGGAUCUCAUUAUUCCUAAUAGCGCUUUUAUGUUCACUUCUACGCGUUUUCAGUUCCCUAAUGGUCUUACCCACAUAGCACAGACCACAAAGGCAUUUCAACAAAUAGACUACAAACUUGGUAACACAAGUAAUCCUACCUCUUACUUUAAACUGCUUAUUAGUUUUAGGAUGGGUAAUUGGAUCGCUUUUUAUCAUUGCAUUGCAACAAGCGCAAUUGUGACAAUUAAAGUUACCUUGCGGUAUCUGUGUUAAAACGUGAGACGAUGGAAUAAAAGAGUCUGCUUUAACAAA